rnacentral:lncRNA from 1 species
GCUGGGUCUAAAGAGGCCAUUGUAACGAUGGAGCUGUGCCUAUUUAAGCACAUUCACAUUUAUUAGGCACUUCAUUUCCAUUAUUACACUGUAAUAUAUAAUAAAAUAAUUAUAGAAUUCACCAUAAUGUAGAAUCAGUGGGCGUGUUAAGCUUGUUUUCCUGCAACUGGAUGGUCCCACCUGAGCGUGAUGGGAGGAAGUGACAGAUCAAUAGGUAUUAGACUCUCAUUAAGGACAGCGCAACCUAGAUCCCUCACAUGCACGGUUCACAACAGGGUGCGUUCUAUGAGAAUCUAAUGCUGCUGCUGAUCUGAGAAGGUGGAGCUCAGGCGGGAAUGUGAGCAAAGGGGAGUGGCUGUAAAUACAGACGAAGCUUUCCUCACUCCCUCACUCGACACCACUCACCUCCUGCUGUGUGGCUCCUUGCGGCUCCAUGGCUCAGGGGUUGGGGACCCCUGCUCAAGUGCAUCAGAAACGACCCUUCUUCCCACACCAGUCUUCACAGUGGUCAAGUGCAGCAACCACUUAGCUCCCAAGGCAUGUGCCUCAGCUGGCAUUUCGUCACAAUCAACAGUAAGUGGUAGCUUGAGUCACUGUGAGGUCACCUACUGGAAAUCACCAGCAUCCCAUUUCCCACUGGCAAAGAGCUCAGCACUGCCCAAAUCCCAUCUGUGUGGGUUUAUCUCCUGGGACCCUUCCUAACAUAUUAGUCAGAGUCCAAUCAGGAAGCAUAAACCACUCAAAAGUUUAAAGUGGUAAAAUUUAAUACAGAGAAUUAUUCAUUAUAACAGGUGAACAGCAUAAUGAGAGAUUGACUAGCACAAAGUAAAGAGAACUCUAGAGAAUAUAGGACUAGCCCAGGCCAGUCUCUCUUCCUGGAUUCAGAAGUCUUUCAUGGUAGAU